rnacentral:rRNA from 1 species
GUGUCAGCCGCCGCGGUAAUACGGAGGGUGCGAGCGUUGUCCGGAAUCAUUGGGUGUAAAGGGUGCGUAGGCGGGCUGCUAAGUCUGGGGUGAGAUCCUGCCGCUUAACGGUAGAAUGGCCCCCGAUACUGGCAGUCUUGAGUACAGAAGAGGUCGGUGGAAUUCGUAGUGUAGCGGUGAAAUGCAUAGAUAUUACGAAGAACACCAGUGGCGAAGGCGGCCGGCUGGUCUGUAACUGACGCUGAGGCACGAAAGCGUGGGGAGCGAACAGGAUUAGAUACCCUGGUAGUCCACGCUGUAAACGAUGUAUGCUAGGUGUCGGCCCUUCGGGGUCUGUGCUGCAGUUAACGCAGUAAGCAUACCACCUGGGGAGUACGCACGCAAGUGUGAAACUUAAAGGAAUUGGCGGGG